rnacentral:rRNA from 1 species
AUGCAGUCGAGCGAACAGAUAAGGAGCUUGCUCCUUUGACGUUAGCGGCGGACGGGUGAGUAACACGUGGGUAACCUACCUAUAAGACUGGGAUAACUUCGGGAAACCGGAGCUAAUACCGGAUAAUAUUUCGAACCGCAUGGUUCGAUAGUGAAAGAUGGUUUUGCUAUCACUUAUAGAUGGACCCGCGCCGUAUUAGCUAGUUGGUAAGGUAACGGCUUACCAAGGCGACGAUACGUAGCCGACCUGAGAGGGUGAUCGGCCACACUGGAACUGAGACACGGUCCAGACUCCUACGGGAGGCAGCAGUAGGGAAUCUUCCGCAAUGGGCGAAAGCCUGACGGAGCAACGCCGCGUGAGUGAUGAAGGUCUUCGGAUCGUAAAACUCUGUUAUUAGGGAAGAACAUACGUGUAAGUAACUGUGCACGUCUUGACGGUACCUAAUCAGAAAGCCACGGCUAACUACGUGCCAGCAGCCGCGGUAAUACGUAGGUGGCAAGCGUUAUCCGGAAUUAUUGGGCGUAAAGCGCGCGUAGGCGGUUUUUUAAGUCUGAUGUGAAAGCCCACGGCUCAACCGUGGAGGGUCAUUGGAAACUGGAAAACUUGAGUGCAGAAGAGGAAAGUGGAAUUCCAUGUGUAGCGGUGAAAUGCGCAGAGAUAUGGAGGAACACCAGUGGCGAAGGCGACUUUCUGGUCUGUAACUGACGCUGAUGUGCGAAAGCGUGGGGAUCAAACAGGAUUAGAUACCCUGGUAGUCCACGCCGUAAACGAUGAGUGCUAAGUGUUAGGGGGUUUCCGCCCCUUAGUGCUGCAGCUAACGCAUUAAGCACUCCGCCUGGGGAGUACGACCGCAAGGUUGAAACUCAAAGGAAUUGACGGGGACCCGCACAAGCGGUGGAGCAUGUGGUUUAAUUCGAAGCAACGCGAAGAACCUUACCAAAUCUUGACAUCCUUUGACAACUCUAGAGAUAGAGCUUUCCCCUUCGGGGGACAAAGUGACAGGUGGUGCAUGGUUGUCGUCAGCUCGUGUCGUGAGAUGUUGGGUUAAGUCCCGCAACGAGCGCAACCCUUAAGCUUAGUUGCCAUCAUUAAGUUGGGCACUCUAAGUUGACUGCCGGUGACAAACCGGAGGAAGGUGGGGAUGACGUCAAAUCAUCAUGCCCCUUAUGAUUUGGGCUACACACGUGCUACAAUGGACAAUACAAAGGGCAGCGAAACCGCGAGGUCAAGCAAAUCCCAUAAAGUUGUUCUCAGUUCGGAUUGUAGUCUGCAACUCGACUACAUGAAGCUGGAAUCGCUAGUAAUCGUAGAUCAGCAUGCUACGGUGAAUACGUUCCCGGGUCUUGUACACACCGCCCGUCACACCACGAGAGUUUGUAACACCCGAAGCCGGUGGAGUAACC